GUUAAGUAAGGGCGUAUGGCGGAUGCCUAGGCUCUCAGAGGCGAUGAAGGACGUGAUAAGCUGCGAAAAGUUACGGGGAUUGGCACAUACAAAUUGAUCCGUAAAUAUCCGAAUGGGGCAACCUAACAUGUUGAAGACAUGUUACACUGUAAAGUGAGCAAACCCGGAGAACUGAAACAUCUAAGUACCCGGAGGAGAAGAAAACAAAAGUGAUUCCGCUAGUAGUGGCGAGCGAACGCGGA
rnacentral:rRNA from 1 species